AAAAAAAAAAAACCUGGGUUUCCGUGCCAACGUUUAACUGUCUAUCUUAUAUAAAAUUUUUUUAUAAUUAGUAUUUUAUUGUUGUUAGAUGAUAAAACAUGAUUAAUACUUUAUGCGUGACUUAUCUUUUUAAUUAUUUUCAUAAUUUUUUUAAAUAAGACGGAUGGUCAAACAUUGGACACAAAAAUCAGGAUUUGUCUUUUU
rfam:Oryza barthii chromosome 6, whole genome shotgun sequence.